UUACGGUCAUAUCACGUUGAAACACCGGUUCACGUACGAUCACCGAAGUUAAGCAACGUCGAGCCUAGUCAGUAACUAGAGGGGCGACCUCUUGAGAAUACCAGCUGCUGUAAG